rnacentral:rRNA from 1 species
CCCGGGCCUUGUACACACCGCCCGUCACACCAUGGGAGUUGGUUUUACCCGAAAGCCGGUCAUGCUAACCCGCGAGGGGGGCAGCCGACCACGGUAAGGUCAGCGACUGGGGUG